AGCACCUCCUGACGCCAAGUUUCCAGCAAACCAUUUCCAGUAACCAUCCCUGUCUUUCUUGAAAUUGAAAAGCCUCUUGAAGUAAUCCUUGAAUGCAAAGUUCAAGGCCUGGUGCAAAAUUAAAAAAGCAAUUAAUCAUAAAGGGCAUGAGAAGGAAAAUCACAAAUCAGAGAAUCCAGGAAAAAUGGAAAAUAACAACUAGCCUGAGUGGGGAAGUAACGGAUGACAUUAGCAGUGUUUCCUCUCCACAGUGACAUAAACCCUUCAUCCUUUAUUGUCCGGCUAAAACACUCACCAAUGCCCUUGUAAGGUUCAGAGAGCCUACCAGUCUUGAUCAUCUCAUCCUGGUUCUGGAUCAAAAGCUUCACACGCUCAAUUGGAGCAGCAGCUGUUUUGGAUACAGCAGCAGAGACUCCACCCAUAAGGAAAUCAAUGGCAAAACCGGCAAGGCCUUUCUCUUUGGGGGCUGGGACAAAAACAGGGGAGACAUUUGACCCAACCAUCAAUGGAUCAAAAGUAGCUCCACACAUGGGGUACUGCAAUGCGGCAUUGGUGUAAUUCCCAUAUGCAGAGUGUCUCUGUUGCAAGGUAGGCUGUUGGAAUCUGCCAUGAAAAGCCUGAAUGUUUUGGGAAUGAUGCAGAUGGCCAGCCACCUUCUGCAUGAUAGUUGGGUACUGAGGCUGAUCAAUCAUUUUGUCUUCCCCUGCAAGGGUGCAAAAGAUCAUACAUAAAAAAGGUGAGAUUAUACAUAAUUAGUCGGUAAACACAUAUGUGCACCCACUAUUGAAAUAAGAGCAACCACUAGUGAAUCAAGCAAACCAAAUGUAAAUAAUUCCCAGGAAUUUCAUUACAUGAUUUAAUACAAAAACCGAAUAGAAUAUAAAAUGGGUGCUAGUAGAACCCCAAAAUCUUCUACAUGUUUAAAGGGUUCUAAAUUUGGAUGAGAGCUUCACAUGAAGCUCCUCUAGAGCAGUGACACAACAUCAAGCACACCACUAGUGAAUCAAGCAAACCAAAUGUAAAUAAUUCCCAGGAAUUUCUUUACAUGAUUUAAUACAAAAACCGAAUAAAAUAUAAAAUGGGUGCUAGUAGAAACCCUAAAAUCUUCUUCAUGUUUAAAGGGUUCUAAAUUUGGAUGAGAGCUUCACAUGAAGCUCCUCUAGAGCAGUGACACAACAUCAAGCUCAGAUAAUCCUUUGCUGUUCUUGGAGCAGUAGUAGGUAAAAUGAGGUAUGAAACUAGAAAACAUUCGAAUGAUUUGAUGCCCCAUGCUGAUAUGAACUAACACCCCAUGUUUAGGAAGGACAUUAAAUAAUAAAAUGAAAUUAAGAAGAAUUAUUAUAACUAUCAAAAAAAAAAAAUGAAAUUAAGAAAACAUUUUAAAAUAAGAAUCUAAAUGAAUAAACAUAGUAAAGAAGGCAUGUCAAUGACAUAGAGAAGAAUUGCAUUAAACAUGCCUGCCAGUCUCGAUAUAACAUUGAUGACAACAUAGAAUCCUUUUCUAAUGGGUGAAGACAGAACCAGAUUUUGCAAUUUGAAAUCCUUUUAGUUGCAUACAUGGAUAAACCACGACAUGGAAUUAUUAAAAGAUAUGAGGCAUCCCUGAUAACAAAUUCGAGACAUCACAUUACUAAAAGUAAAAUCAUGCUAGGAGAGGAGGGUGGAUCUAGGCUUUGCUUCAAUCCUUAUUUUAGUUACUGCUAUGCAAAUUAUCAAAGCACCCUAAAGCUGAUUGUUAGAUCAAUAUCAACACUCAAAAGUACAAACAGAUCAUAUCCAGAAGAUGCAUAGCUCCAAUAUUUCAAAAGAAUGAAUUUUAAAUACAACCAGAAAAGACUCCCUUCCGCCAGAGAUGAAUUCCUCGUUAGGAAAGGAAUGAAACACACCUCACAUCAUGAUAAAGAUUGAUGAAGAAAAAGAGCUAAAUAUAAAAAAUCUAUGUGAUAAAUAAUUUACACAUGACAAAAAAAAAAACAAAAAAACAAAAACAGGCAUUUGAAAUAGAAAAUAGAGAAACUAGAGAUAGAUAUUUCACAUUUUGAACCACAUUAUUCCAAAAAUAAUUGCGAGAAUAAAAGGCUAACAGUGAGAUCCUAGCCGUCAUCGACACCAUUUGUCACUCUUAACUCCAAGACUGGUAAGCAGUAACGAGAUUCAAAAACGCAAAAACGUAAGCAGAUCUAAAAUUCGCUUAAAGAAAACGUUUUUCUCAAAAAAGGAAGACACUAAAAACUACUUGUAGAAAACACUUUUCUCAACUAUUUACAUCAUUUUCCUUUCCUUUUCUCCUCCUUCUCAGGGAUUCUCUUUGAAUCCCAAAAGAAAGACGAAAAUGAAAAAAAAUUAAAAAAAAAGAAAAGAAAAGCUUUUAGAUGUAAACUUUCCUAUGAGAUCCAAACGGAGCCUGAAGAUUGAAUAGAUCCAAAACUUCAAAACCUAAAAAAAACACUUCUACAAACUACAAAUAAAUCAUCGCAUCAAACAAGAAAAAACAAAGACAGAUCCAGAAACGGUACGUGGUCGCCAUGUCUCAGACCGAUCGGAAUAUCUCUCUGGAAACUAGAGAUGAAAUGAACAAUUAAAAUGAAAUAAAUGAAGCAAUAGAUCACAGAUCUGACGAGAUCGGACCCUGAAAGUGAUGAUUUAGAGAGAUUAGAGAAAAGAUUCGAGAUUGGAUCGUAUUGUUACCUUCGGAGAGAUUGGAGUCGAUGAAAUCUCAACGCAGGCGCCGGUAAGGGAAGAAGAAGUGAAGACAGCGAAGAUAAACUGUGUGGUGGCGACGGGUUUGAG
rnacentral:lncRNA from 1 species